rnacentral:rRNA from 1 species
UUUUGGACAAUGGGGGCAACCCUGAUCCAGCCAUCCCGCGUGUGCGAUGAAGGCCUCCGGGAUGUAAAGCACUUUUGGCAGGGAAGAAAAGGCUCUGGUUAAUACCUGGAGCUGCUGACGGUACCUGCAGAAUAAGCACCGGCUAACUACUUGCCAGCAGCCGCGGUAAUACGUGGUGUGAAAGCGUUAAUCGGAAUUACUGGUCGAAAAGGGUGCGCAGGCGGUUUGGCAAGAAGGAUGUGAAAUCCCGGGGCUUAACCUCGGAACUGCAUUCUUAACUGCCAGGCUGGAGUAUGUCAGAGGGGGUAGAAUUCCGCGUGUAGCAGUGAAAUGCAUAGAGAUGCGGAGGAAUACCGAUGGCGAAGGCAGCCCCCUGGGAUAAUACUGACGCUCAGGCACGAAAGCGUGGGGAGCAAACA